UUUAUCUCAACUCACGGGCUUCACUCUCCAUUUCUCUCCCCCGUCCCAGAGAGGGAGGGGGGAGGGUGAGCGAACGGCUGCGUGGUGUUUAGCUGCCGGCCGGGUUAAACCACGACAGUACUACAUCUCCCCACACUUGCAAAGGAGAGACAACAUCAGUUUGUAAUAGAGGCAGUGGUAUAACACUGUUCUAAAUUCGUGUUUGGUUUUCUGUGGAUUCGAGCAUAAUUUCAGAAGCUACAGUCUCACACUGUUGUGGUUGAGAAAACGGUAUUUUAUGAUCUGAAAGACUCUGAAUGGCAUUAUAAUUAACAAAUGUGUAAUAUGCUAUGCUUUUAGAUGCCAGUAUUUUAAACAAUCAACUUGAUUUUGCUGCCAGCACUUGAUUUCAUAGAAGUUAUUUCUUGGAAGAUUGUCAAUGAGGAGGUCCAUACUUCCAGUUAACUAAAAUCAUUCUUUAUUAAGGUUAAAAGACCUAGAUAUUUGUAGUAAGAAGAUAAGCUUCCUAAUGUGAUCUAUGCUUUGACCAAAAAAAAAAAAAAAAAAAAAAAGGACCAACAAACAACUAUGAAAAGUUUUUUUGAUUGUUCCAGGUCCUACUAACCACAACUCAAACUUAAAAUGAAGUAGUUCUAGUGUAGAAGCAAAAAUGGUUUAAUCAUUGUCAUUAUCUUGGUUGUCUUACACCUCACACUGCCACCACCACCACUUCACACGCACAGUGCAGCCUUCUUGGCCCCGUGUUUCGUCUUAAGGCUCAGCGUGACUCAUUCUUCCUCUUAACUGAUGGUUCUAUUUCGUCACACUUGAGGUAGUGCCAUGUCUUUGUAACACGUAGAUGCUGGUCACAUAUGCAUCUGUUGCUACCAGAGUGAAUUGAGGUUUAGCUCUCCAGGCAGGAUAAUAAGCCUAGAGGUUCAUUACUCGAAAGUAUGCUGUGGCGGUGUGAACAUGAAUAUUGCACAGGUUGGACUGUAAAUGAGCAUGGGGAAGAUUAUUCUGUGUCUAAUACACAAAGAAGCUUGUAGUCCAGGACAUGUUUUGCUGUGACGAAACAUCCAUCGCAGCCAAACUGUAGCGAAAUGUAGAAGGGUGAAUGUCCCUGUGAAUUUCUAACUUUUUCAAAUCCAUAUGUUUGUAACGUUUGUAAGAAGCGCUCAGUAUUUUUGUAUAAUUACCUGUAGUUAUCUUUCCUCUGAAUAUAUUUUGGGGCAUAAUACAAUGUAAUAAAAAAGUGAUGAGCUUUAAAAAUAACAAAAAUCCCUGUGUACAUUAAAGUCACAUUCAAAGACUAUGUUUUGUGUGUUCUGCUAAUGAAAUUGCAGACUACUUUUGAAAAUACGAAGAAUUUCAUAUUUUACUGUCAUGGUUCAGUUGUUUUAAGAUUGCCUAAAUUGCAAGUUAGAAUGGUGAAGCUUGUAUUACAAGCAAAGAGCCAGCGGAAAGUAAAAGACACAGUCUUUUACUUCCUCGUCUUUCGGUCCUUAACAUACAAUGGUGCUAGCUCAGACCUAGGAAUCACCAGUCUUUAUCUUGUUCCCUGUCUCAAGUCCCCCCUUUUCUUGAGCCUAAGAAAAUUCUUUGGCUUAUUACAAUCCUUCUUGAUUAAAAGUUUUCAUUAAAUUCUUACCAGUUUUGACUUGGUGCUUGUUUCAGUUACACUUCCAGGUAUCAUAAUCUAGUCCUUCAUACAGCACCAAAAUGCACAUUGUACCACUACACAAGUCAAGACUACUACUCUUAAAAAGAAGAUCAGGAUUCCUCUAAACGAUUGCUUAAGCCAAGAAAAGUUGGGUAACCAAAAGGUUAUUUUGUUGCAUAAUUCUCGAAAACCCCAGGAGGUGUCAUCUUGAAUUACCUUACGUAAUCACCUUAGACUAAUCACCUUAUUACCGUAGUCUUUCCCCAAAUGUUUUCGUGCUCAGUCUCAAUUCCUCCUGCCUCAUUUACACACAUACAGCAACUAAUAUUGAUUAAAGUGCAUCCUUCCCCUUGGGAGGCAAAUAAAAGGUCUAGUGCCUAAAACAUUGAUUUGUUCUAGUUGCUUGCACCAAACUGUAAGAUGUUGUUGCAAAUAUUGGUUUCCUAAAUGGGUUAGAUCUUCUCCUUUGUCCGGCAUUUGGUAAGGCCUGCCAUACAAUAUCUCCAAAGGGGCUUAGUUUGACCAAGUUUGCUCCUGGGGGAUGGAUGGAGCCCGUGGUAGGGAGCCAUGUGGGAGCAGUGCUUGAGGAGCUGCUGCCUUUGGCAGCCCCUGCAGGCUCACUUCGGGAAUCCCGUGUGAGGGAUGAAGUUCUGUGUUUUUUGUUUUGUUUUUCUUUUGUUUUGUUUUGUUUUGUUUUUCUGAAGAAACCGGGUGUUUAAGAAGGAAAUGCAGAGUUGCCUUUGUUUGGCACUCGAUGGUCUUGAGGUCUCUUCCAACGUAGACAUUCUGUGAUUCUGUGAAGUCACAAACGCCAAGGCAUCACACUGGCUGGCUCUGCAGCACAGAUGCCAGGAGUGCCGCUUGGCAUGGCGGCGGCGGCGCGGUGCCCCAGCCCCAGGCCCGUCCCAGCCCCAGCGCACAUUGCCCUCCGCUCCCCCAUGGAGCCCCCCGCCGCCUCAGCAGCCCUGCGGCGGACGCCCCAUGGCAGAGCCGCCCCCGAGGAGAAGGAGCCCGCAGCCCUCUGCCCACACCGCACCGCACUGCACCAAGCGCCGCGCAACGGCUGCCACCACCGCGGGGGCUCCUGGUGUGAGUGGCAAGCGGUGGCAAGGGGGGGCUGCGCUUCCUGAGUCGAGCUGCUGGACACCGGCUUGCCUGGGCAAUUGCCCAUGUUGCUGAGGAGGCAACAGAGCCAAAGCCCUUGGGGCUGAAGAUCCAGCACAGCUGGGGAGGCUUUGGCAUUUCUGCACAAUGCUGCUCAAUCCUGCUUGGGAGCCCAGCCUCAGGUGCGGAAUGAAGCCAAGCAAGCUCGAGGGAAACUGUGUGCUGGUAAGUUGUCAGUUCUUGCUUUCUUUUUCAUUCCUCACGCCUAAGAAAACCUAACUCUUUCAAGCACCUGUUUGAAGACACGGUUUGAUGGACUUGAUUCUGGGUGUGCUCCUUAAGCUUGUUUGGCAGCUGUUGAACCCCGCUACACUUGCAGGAGACCUAUGCUCGAGUUGAUGCUUGCUGUGAUCAAGCGGUGUUCUUUUGCUCUUCUUUGCUUUGGGGAUGGCGGGUGAGGUUGCAAAGAGUUUUCAGGAGGAUUCUUCUUUUCCUUUGCAGAAUCCCAGACUGCGUAUUAGAGCUGAUCUUCAUCUCUGCUCGGAAAAGCUUCACGGGCCAAAAGAGAAUGGAGAUGAGGAAGGCAAUGGAGAAUGAUGAGGACUAUUUGCAGUCAGCACCCCAACUUCUGCCUUGGCUCUUCCCAUCAAGCCAGAGCAGUUUCUUGGCCUGCGCAACCUGCAGACUGACCUCUCGUGUGUAUCCGUGCUGGACUGAGGGUAUCAAGAGAAGAAGGCAUUUGCUUCAGAGGACAGUACUUUGAUGCUUUCCAGGGCUAAUGGCCAAAGUUCUCAAAGCACUUUUUUUUCUUUUUUUUUUUUUUUCCCCAUCAGUGAUUUAUACAUUUGUCAAUCUUUCCAUCUUCAUUUACAACUCCGAAUUUAGGUUUUAGGUGAACAAGAACCCUGAAACCAGCUGAAGCCAUAUCAGACAUGAAGCCAUAUCAGACAUAGUAAGGACAUGUGUCUGUGAGGAAGUAAUUCAGAGUGAUUCUCUGGUGUCUUUUGGACAGCUUUCCUCUGGUCCUCUGCACUAAGCAUCCCCAAGGGAUAUUUCAAAGCUCUCGGAAUGAUCUGUCAUUCUCUCUUCCACUGGAGUCUCUAUUAGAAAAGCGUGACUAUUCCUUGCCCAUGUGGAAAAGAAGUCCUCCUUGCGUUGUUUCUAAGCAAAACCUCUUUCUUGUGUUCU